GAUGAAGAACGUAGCGAAAUGCGAUAAGUAAUGUGAAUUGCAGAAUUCAGUGAAUCAUCGAAUCUUUGAACGCACCUUGCACCCUUUGGCAUUCUGAAGGGUAUGCUCGUUUGAGUGUCAUUGUACUCUCACACUCCCGAUCUUUGCAUUGGGAGCAGUGGACUUGGGUUUGCUGCUUCACCGUCGCUUACCUCAAAUAGGUUAGUGCAACUCUUGGUUGGACAUAGUACGGCGUGAUAAGUGUUCUUCGCCGGUGCCUCGCAAAGAGGGUGGCCGAUCGGGAUGUUGUGCUCCAAACCGUCUUCGGACAAUCUCUGACGACUUGACCUCAAAUCGAGUAAGACUACCCACUGAACUUAAGCAUAUCAAUAAGCGGAGGA
rnacentral:misc_RNA from 1 species